GUGAAAUUCCGUCGGAAUCUGGGAGGACCAUCUCCUAAGGCUAAAUACUCUCUAGUGACCGAUAGUGAACCAGUACCGUGAGGGAAAGGUGAAAAGCACCCCGGAAGGGGAGUGAAAUAGAACCUGAAACCGUGUGCUUACAAGUAGUCAGAGCCCGUUAAUGGGUGAUGGCGUGCCUUUUGUAGAAUGAACCGGCGAGUUACGAUUUGAUGCAAGGUUAAGCAGUAAAUGUGGAGCCGUAGCGAAAGCGAGUCUGAAUAGGGCGUUUAGUAUUUGGUCGUAGACCCGAAACCAGGUGAUCUACCCUUGGUCAGGUUGAAGUUCAGGUAACACUGAAUGGAGGACCGAACCGACUUACGUUGAAAAGUGAGCGGAUGAACUGAGGGUAGCGGAGAAAUUCCAAUCGAACCUGGAGAUAGCUGGUUCUCUCCGAAAUAGCUUUAGGGCUAGCCUCAAGUGAUGAUUAUUGGAGGUAGAGCACUGUUUGGACGAGGGGCCCCUCUCGGGUUACCGAAUUCAGACAAACUCCGAAUGCCAAUUAAUUUAA
rnacentral:rRNA from 1 species